rnacentral:lncRNA from 1 species
AUUCUUAAUCUCAUCAGUUGGUUUGUAGCUGAUAAAGUGACAACAUGGACAGACCAUCAUCAUCAUCAUCAUCAUCAUCAUCCAGGGAAGAGAGGAUGAGGAGACAUGAAGAAGAAUAUGACUACCCUGUGUCUUUCCUUUCGACAUCAAUGUACCUGUCUCAAGGGGAAGAGAGGAUGAGGAGACAUGAAGAAGAAUUUGUCUGCCUCCGCAGUCUGUUUUUCCGUCCAACAUCAAUAGACCUGUCUCAAUGGGAAGAGGAGGAGAAGAAGAAACGUGAAGAACAACGUCAAUUUUUUCGCUGUCUCUCUGACAGUGAUGAUGACCUAAGCCACCAUCUGACACCAAUACACCUGUUUCAAGGGGAAGAGAGGAUGAGGAGACAUGAAGAAGAAUUUGUCUGCCUCCGCAGUCUGUUUUUCCGUCCAACAUCAAUAGACCUGUCUCAAUGGGAAGAGGAGGAGAAGAAGAAACGUGAAGAACAACGUCAAUUUUUUCGCUGUCUCUCUGACAGUGAUGAUGACCUAAGCCACCAUCUGACAUCAAUAGACCUGUUUCAAUGGGAAGAGGAGGAGAAGAAGAAACGUGAAGAACGACGUCAACGGCGACGUGCAGAACCAGCUCCAGCUCCCAUGAGGGGCAGCAGCAGUUAUGAAUUCCUGCCUUCAAGCUGGGAAGAGGAGGAGAAGAAGAAACGUGAAGAACAACGUCAACGUGUCAGCCCUAUUCCUGACCCUCUGACACCAAUAGACCUGUUUGAAUGGGAAGAGGAGAUGAGGAGACUUGAAGAGCAAUCAUCAGAUUUAGCUCAAAGCAGCAGUUCUAUAGAUCAUCCACCAGACUUCUGAGGCUGGUUCUACUGGGGAACAGCUGGUCUGACAGGAGCUCAGUGGGGAACCUCAUACUGGGACAGACUCCACCCUUUACACAGCGUGUAGCGUUGACCCACCCCCCACCAUGACAUGGUGAUGAUGAGACCUUUCAGAAAAUGUAUAUGACAUUGGCAGUCUAUUGACAGCCUAAUGUCCACUGCUCGUACAUAUGGCUGUUUUGUUUUUACUAUUUUCUGUUUCUUAUUUUGAUUCUUGCUUAUAUAUUUUUAACGUGUCUUUUAUUUCUGUAAAUCACUUUCAAUUACUAAUUAAUUUGCUAACUAAUUAAUUGCUAUAUAAAUGUAACCGGGUCAUAUAUUCCCUUAGUUAUAAUCAUAACGUUUGGGUUCAAAGCUCCUCCUCAUUCAUUUCUUCUUCUGUGGUACCCUCCUAUAAAUUCUGGGCGCUCACUUCCUCUCUCCCCUUUUGUACAAUUCUCCUGUGGGAGAGGUGGGUGCCAUUUUGUCAGUUCAGUUAACAUCGUAAUGCAUCCUGUUGUUUGUUUUGCAUUUAUUUUAGAUCAUCCUCAUCAUUAUGUUUGUUUGUGCUGAAGGCAGGACUGCAUGGCCCAGAACGGCCACUAGGGGCGCUGCCGGGUGUUGAGUAGUUUUAACCCUGUAGCGCCCAAAUUAAGAAAAAAUGAGCAAUAAACAUUUUGACCUCUCAGAUAUUGUUUUAGGAGGCCUCUGAUGUAGAAAUGAAAGGUUUUUCAUUUUUUUACAUUUUAGUAGGUUUUUAAGGACACGUUGUCACGUUGGGCCUAGUUGGGAGCAGAAUUUCUGUAUUUGUACUCACUUUGUCUGAACAGAUACACAGAACAUUUAAACAUUCACUUGCAGGGUUGAUUGCUUACUUAGCCCCACAACAGUAAAUAUCAUGAGUGAUAAUCUUGGGUCUUAUAUUGUAGUAGAUAAACAGAAAGAAUAGACAGGGUGGUGGGUCAAAGUAUUAUCAUUUCAAUUCAAAUGCAAAAUUCAUAGUGUCAGGCUGGACUAUUAUGCUCUGCACUUAUCAUACUAAAGAAGAAAGUGUUUAUAGGUCCGUUCAUGGCCAGAUGACCGGACCUAUAAACACUUUCUUCUACCCAAUAGCAUUGUGAGGACAAACAAUAGGACCCAUUAACUAUGUAAAUGUGGUCUUGAGAAAAAAAUUGCAGGUCAUUUUUUAGAAUUGUUAAAAGUGAUGCUGGAAUAUUUCAACACUAGGGAUUUCAGGGUUAAAUGAGGUUUGAUGCAUAAAUAGCAGUGGGAUGUUAAGUUCGGUGCUUCCUGUGUGUGUACCUAGUGGUCGUCCAUGAGACAGGUGCGUUGGUUUGUCGCUGUAAUACUGAUUACGGUGUGAUUAUGGUUCACGUUGGCCUCAUUGAAUGUGGUUACUUCCUGUUCUGUAGCAUGGAUAUGAUUAGCAGCUAACGCUAAGCUAACUCUGGGAGGGAUGGUCGAUCCCUAGCUCAUAGCUAAUCUAUGAGUGUCGCUUGUUGUUUAGUUAUUAUUGGGAUUAUAUUUGGGUUAUUCCUCGUGUUUAUUUGUCCCAUUUGUACAUGUGAGCUGUAACUAAUAUUCUGUUGUUACAGAACCACACACAUACACAUACCCUGACCUUUGUGACCUUUCUCUUUUUCACAAUAAAAGUCAGUUAUUUGUUGGAAGAUAUUACGUCUUUGUAAAGUAUAAUCAAUAUUCAAAAUAAAGUUAAGAUUGUAAUCUAAGAUCACUUGAGUCAGCACUUUGUCCUUUCAAAGUAAAAGCCUUUUAUAUCAUUAUUUCAAAAUAAAAGCCAACAAACACUAAUAUGAGCUUAAAAUUGACUUUAUCUAUUGAGAUACAGACUUAAGCACCAACUGAGGCCGUUUUAAAUGUCAACCUUACUGUCUUCUCCAAGCCAGAAAUGUUUGUACUUUCACUAUAAAAGUCUACAGUUAUUUACAGGAAGUUACUGCAGUGUUCCAAAGUAUAGUAAAUAUUAAAAAUUAAAGUUCAGAUCUUAACUCCUGGUCACAUGAGUCUCCUGCAGCACACUGCCUUUUCAAAAUAAAAGCAUUUUAUUACUUGCUUUUCCAGCACGUUCUUUCCCUUCCAGGAUUUCCAGCUGUGCACAUCACUUUAUUCUUCAUUCAUACUGCAUUCAUUCCUUAAUUUCUUCCCUUUCUUCAAUCCUUCCUUCUUUCUCUAUAAGAACAUCUUCCAUCAAAUAUCUCAGCUUUGGUUAUCAUGUUAUCAUUCUGCCCUCUUCCUCACUUUAACUCAUUGAAUGUUUUCAGUUCUGCCUCUUCUCUUCUGUCUCUUCACUGCACUUUCUUCUUGUAUAUUAGUAGAACACUUACUUCUUUCAAUUUAAAGCCACUUUUUUUCUAUGUAUUUCUUCAGCAGAGCAUCUUUCUUUUUCAGCCCUUUACAGCAAUGUUCAAUACUUUUUUAGCUGAACAAGUUAAGCUUCCAACUUCAGCUUUACAUUUUAGCUUCCAGAUAUAGUCAGCAUUGAAUUUCAGCCUUCAGCUUUUUCAGCAAUGAAAGCUAAAUAUUUGUUUUAAUGUAUUUGAAUCAUGUUUAUUCAUGAUUAUUGAUAUUACACACAUAAAAGACAUAUACAAGUAACCUGGAAAAUAUAUCAGAACUACUCACAAAACAGGACAGGAUGCAUAUACAUUUAAAAAAGGAAAUUUACAAUUAAAACAUUGACUUUAAUUGUCAGCAGCUUUUUAUUUAAAACUAUGCACAAAAUAAAUGAAAAGAUAAAUAAAAUAAAUGUACAAAAUAAUAAAAAAAACACAAGCUAUGGAUUUGACCCUUUUAAAAUAAAAGUGGAAUGUGCAGUUUCUAAUCAGUCUCUACUUAUCAAGCAAAGAAGACGACAGAAGGAGCAUAAAAAUGGUCCUCGCAAAACAAACGUUAAUGAAAAGGUUGGACCCAUUUGACCUCAAACAAAUAAAUAAAACCUGAAUCAAAUGAUCAAUAACAUCAAAUGCAGAGUUCAGUUGUCAGUGUGUUUUUAUCAGAUUUCACCAAAGAACAAAUGAAAGAAAAGAAACAUAAAAAUUCCUGAUUAUAUUUUUCAUUCAUUACUAGAAAUAUUGAUAUUUUGUAACUUCACACUGUUUUUAUUGCUGCAGUUGAUGCUCUUUGCCAAAGUGCACAAAACAGUGUGUUAGUCAAAGUGUGUCAGCAGCUGUGUAACUCAUAUCUGCUGAAUAGUGAACUUUAACAUGUGUGUUAAGAUGAGGGGAUGAUUGAAGAGUGACCCUGUCACCUGUUUAACAUCUUUCACUAGGGACAAACUUCUUGUCUGUGUCUAUCACAAUGUCCUUUACUGGACAUCAGUGACUCAGACAUGACACUUUUAAUGGAUAUGUUACAAUAUUGGUCAGUCCGACCUACAAAGGCUUGUCACAUGAUGGUCAGCCUCAGGCUAAUAUCCCCAUUUGUCCAGGGCUCCAAGCUUCAGUAGUCCUGGACUGACAGUCGUGAUAAGACCAGCAUGGGAACAUUUGUCUCCCAGUCAAACCAUUAGCUGUGGCUCAUCUGAGCUACAGUGGUGUUGUGGGUAUUCUGAAGACUGCUCUGAAUACCCUGAGCUCUGACUUCACAGUGUGACACACUGGAGAUACAUACACAGCCUGACUGCUGACCAUGUCUUUGGGUUUAGAUGAGCCCAGAGCUAAGUCCACACAUGUGGAAACCUUUCACUUCCCUUCCAGCUGAUACCCCACUCUAAUGACUAUUUUAAAUCUGUCCUCUCCUCUGGGCUCAUUCAUUUACCUUCAUUCAUUUUAAU